rnacentral:lncRNA from 1 species
GGGGGACGCAGCAGGGAGGCCUUGUGAGUGGCCAGCAGCUCGGCUUUUCUUGUAAGGGAAAUAGGGAGCCAUUGAAAGGGAGAGACUGGCGAGGUUUAAAGCCCUCGUGAUCUUAAGUGGCGUCCUGGAUACCUUUCAGAGAGCAAACCGUCCAGGGCUCAGAUUUCGGGGUACUCACGAAGAUCUUCGGAUAUCAGCCUCACACGGAUAGGGCUUUCUGCCCCUGGACACAAUGAUGGGCUUAAGACUCUUGCAGAUACAGAAAAAAAAAUUUACCAAAAAUGAGCAGAGAAUCCUGACCUACCAAAGCGAGGCACUGACAUUGCCUGUAACAGAGGAAAGUGGUAUCAUGGAAGACACUUGAGACCCUCGUCCACCCGGAGGUGGCACCAGAGGAAUCUACGCAGCAAGCGUAGAUUGAGGAGCCCUUGUCUCCUGUUUUUAAUCUGAUUUUCCUUUCACAGUCUCUGCCUCUAAAGAGUCUAGUUCUUGUGUCUUCGGCCUUUCCCCUGUCCUAAAAUUGCACUGCUCUUUGUAGAAGUCAUUCCUCCCCCUACCUCCCAUGUGCCACACUUUUAAUAAACUAUUUUUCUCCUCUUAAUCUUUGUUUAGAGAUUCUGGCCAAGAACUGUCCCUCCCUCACCCUAUCUUAAGAUACUCGGCACAUUGCCUGUGGUGUACAUUAAAUCUACUUGAG